rnacentral:rRNA from 1 species
CUACGGGACGCACCAGUAGGGAAUUUUCGGCAAUGGAGGAAACUCUGACCGAGCAACGCCGCGUGAAUGAAGACAUAUUUCGGUAUGUAAAGUUCUUUUAUUAGGGAAGAAUAGCCCAUGGAAAAAUGGGUGUGACGGUACCUAAUGAAUAAGCCCCGGCUAACUAUGUGCCAGCAGCCGCGGUAAUACAUAGGGGGCAAGCGUUAUCCUGAAUUAUUGGGCGUAAAGGGUGCGUAGGCGGCCAUUUAAGUCUUUGGUAUAAGUGCAGUGCUUAACGCUGUGAUGCUAAGGAAACUGAAUGGCUUGAGUGAGAUAGAGGCAAGUGGAAUUCCAUGUGUAGCGGUAAAAUGCGUAAAUAUAUGGAGGAACACCAGUGGCGAAGGCGGCUUGCUGGGUCUACACUGACGCUGAGGCACGAAAGCGUGGGGAGCAAACAGGAUUAGAUACCCCCGUAGUC